rnacentral:rRNA from 1 species
UAAGACGAACCGUGCGAACGUUGUUCGGAAUCACUGGGCUUAAAGGGCGCGUAGGCGGGCUGCCGAGUCCGGGGUGAAAUCCUCCCGCUCAACGGGAGAACGGCCCCGGGUACUGGCGGCCUCGAGGCGGGUAGGGGCGUGCGGAACACUGGGUGGAGCGGUGAAAUGCGUUGAUAUCCAGUGGAACUCCGGUGGCGAAGGCGGCACGCUGGACCCGAUCUGACGCUGAGGCGCGAAAGCCAGGGGAGCGAACGGGAUUAGAUACCCCGGUAGUCCUGGCCCUAAACGUUGAGAACUAGGUAGUCGGCCGGACAUGGGCUGACUGCCGGAGCGAAAGUGCUAAGUUCUCCGCCUGGGGAGUAUGGUCGCAAGGCUG